GGGGAUGACGUCAGGUCAUCAUGACCCUUACGGCCAGGGCUACACACGUGCUACAAUGGCGCGCACAGAGGGCUGCAAACCCGCGAGGGGGAGCCAAUCUCACAAAACGCGUCGUAGUCCGGAUCGCAGUCUGCAACUCGACUGCGUGAAGUCGGAAUCGCUAGUAAUCGUGAAUCAGAAUGUCACGGUGAAUACGUUCCCGGGCCUUG
rnacentral:rRNA from 1 species